rnacentral:rRNA from 1 species
UACGUAGGGUGCAAGCGUUGUCCGGAAUUAUUGGGCGUAAAGGGCGCGUAGGCGGUCAGCACAAGUCAGUUGUGAAAUCUCCGGGCUUAACUCGGAAAGGUCAACUGAUACUGUGCGACUAGAGUGCAGAAGGGGCAACUGGAAUUCUCGGUGUAGCGGUGAAAUGCGUAGAUAUCGAGAGGAACACCUGCGGCGAAGGCGGGUUGCUGGGCAGUUGCUGACACUGAGGCGCGACAGCGUGGGGAGCAAACAGG